GGUGUUUAUUUCGAUAGCAUAUACUAAAAUCGUAACUAUACUGAGAAAAUUAGCAUGACCCUUGCUCAGGGAUGACAUGCAAACUCAUGAAACAUUCAAAAAAUAG
ensembl:snRNA U6 U6 spliceosomal RNA